rnacentral:lncRNA from 1 species
CAAAAAAACACAGAUGGAAAUUUUACUAGUCACAGACUUCAGCUUUGCAGGUGGCAAACCUCAGUAAAUGCCACCAAUAACUUACCUGUAGGAAAAGAAAGAGUAGGAUUGUUUUCUGUAUUUUAUUUUUAGCUUGGCAAUUUGGGAGGAGCGAUUUGUUUGGCUUAUAUGAUUCAGAGAAGGGAUUAGAAAACAAAAGUCUGUGCUGAGUUGGAUGCUGUCAAGAUGCAGGACAAACCUGUGAUUGAGGGUCUCAAUAAGUGUUUUUUUUAAUCUGGGAGAAGGGGGGAUUAAUGCAGGGCUGAGAGCUGUCAUUGGCACAAUGGCAAUAACCACUCUGAGAAAGACAGAAGACAGAAGAAAAGACAGAAGUGGUUGCUUAAUCACUUUGGUUGUUUGCAGAGGAUUCCUGUCAGUGUCUUUUUCCGAACUUGGUUGAGGCUGUUAUCGGGAAUGUUCACCUUUGUCACAGGAACCUAAAAGGACAUUCAGUGACCACAGGAGACCAGGGAACUUGGCCAUUUCCUUUACCAGAAGGUCAAGAAAAACACACAGCCUUCUUCAUUCCCAUACUCAAGUGCCUGUAGGAGAGACGUAGAGAGGAGCAAUCACCAAGAGAGACCAAGGUUCUUCUUGUUACUAGUUUUUGUGCUUGGCAGACUUAUAAGUGAUAGAGAGAGAAGAAUCUUUGGAUGCAGCCAAUUACUGCAGUUCAGGGCUGGAAACCCUCCCAGCCAUGCAGCUGGUCAGGUGAUUGUGUGUCCAGAAAAAGAGGUAAGGCACACAGUGCAGACUGAGGCUGAGGAAAACAAGGUAAAAGCAAGGAAGAUGGAGGCAUACUGCCUUCACAGCAGCAGGAGAAGGGUCUCUGCUCGUUUUUCACAUUGGCAUUGAUUCACAUCUGGGGUGAAAUGCCGUGUUGCUGUAACAGGACUGCAGUAACUGGACUAAGAAAAAGAGAGUAGAAAACUACCCAAGAGGCUUCGGGCAAUCAACGAGGAGCCUGUGCUGUGAGCACUAAGUCUGCUUGUGAACGGGUCAGGGCCAUGAGUGGGCAGUGACCUGACCCAGAGGAACCACAGCAACACCCAGGACCAGCAGGAGAAUAUUUGGGACAAUCUGGACUGAAAAACUCAAGAACAAAUGAUAGAUCUGAGAUAGAAAUGAGAAUUUAAAAGCAGGCAUUUGGGGAGCAAUGUCCUUGGACAGGGUUUGUUUCUAUCAGUGUCCCUCUGGUGGAGAGUUAAGCUCUAAUUCUGGAGGACAAAUGCACCUCAUCCUAAAGGAUCUUCCUUUCCCUUCAGAGAAUUCAUUCCUUGUUCCUUUUUUAUAUGGUUUAUAAUUUAACUGUCUGAUACAUGUCUGUUUCAAGAACAUUUAACACUAAUCCUCCGUGAAUUUUGAGUAGACUAACUGCUAACUCCGUGAAUUUUGAGUAGACUAACAGAAUAUACUGUUCAGCUCUCCAGGCUGGUGAGGCUGGGCUGGACCCUUUCCUUGUUUACAGGUGCUUGUCAACAGAUGCUAGUGCAAGGCUGCUGCUGCUGGUGUGGAUUAGGAAAAAUGGAGACAAAAGAAAGCAAGGCCAUGUUCUAGCAAAAGACCAUUGACUUAACUUUAAUUCUACCUUCAGAAAUGGUAUGCUUCCAACAGCUUACUGUAUUCCUUCAAAUAAUCCUUUUUUAAAAGUUUAAUGUAAAAUCUUUAAAAUAUUAUAGCAUAUAGCAUAAGAUUUCAAGCUUGUGAUGUGACCUGUUGUCAUGAUUAUUAAUUUCCCAAAUCAAGAAAUGUGGAUUAUGACUACUUAAAGAAUUUGUAUUGCUUUUGCUGUUUAAUGUAAUAAUUUCACAUCUUAGAAAAAUGUCAUACAUUUAGCUAAGUAUGUCACAUUUUAAGCACAUGUGAAAUUGUUUUUCAUUAAAACCAUUUUUACGUUUUUCUAAAAUAUAACAAUGUUACUUUUUAGGACUUCUGUUUUCUGGAGAAUGCUAAAAUUGGAUAUAAAAAUUCUGCAAACAAAACUAUAAUGAUAAGUACACU